rnacentral:rRNA from 1 species
GAUGAACGCUGGCGGCGUGCCUAAUACAUGCAAGUCGAGCGAACAGACGAGGAGCUUGCUCCUCUGACGUUAGCGGCGGACGGGUGAGUAACACGUGGAUAACCUACCUAUAAGACUGGGAUAACUUCGGGAAACCGGAGCUAAUACCGGAUAAUAUAUUGAACCGCAUGGAUCAAUAGUGAAAGACGGUUUUGCUGUCACUUAUAGAUGGAUCCGCGCCGCAUUAGCUAGUUGGUAAGGUAACGGCUUACCAAGGCAACGAUGCGUAGCCGACCUGAGAGGGUGAUCAGCCACACUGGAACUGAGACACGGUCCAGACUCCUACGGGAGGCAGCAGUAGGGAAUCUUCCGCAAUGGGCGCAAGCUUGACGGAGCAACGCCGCGUGAGUGAUGAAGGUCUUCGGAUCGUAAAACUCUGUUAUUAGGGAAGAACAAAUGUGUAAGUAACUAUGCACGUCUUGACGGUACCUAAUCAGAAAGCCACGGCUAACUACGUG